rnacentral:tRNA from 1 species
GCCGGAGUGUCGAAAUUGGUAACCGAACAUCACUCAAAAUGAUGCGCUCGCAAGGGCUUGGGAGUUCAAGUCUCCCCUCCGGCA